rnacentral:misc_RNA from 1 species
UCUGCUUUAUCAGCUAGCGGUCUCACUAGAGUGCCCAACUAAAUGGUGGCAACUAGUGACAAGGGUUGCGCUCGUUGCGGGACUUAACCCAACAUCUCACGACACGAGCUGACGACAGCCAUGCAGCACCUGUAUCCACGUCCCCGAGGGGAACCCCUACUUUCAUAGGGUAGCGUGGUAUGUCAAGCCUAGGUAAGGUUUUUCGCGUUGCAUCGAAUUGAACCAGAUACUCCACCGCUUGUGCGGGCCCCCGUCAAUUUCUUUGAGUUUUAAUCUUGCGACCGUAAUUCCCAGGCGGGAUACUUAACGCGUUAGCUACGACGCCGGGGGGGUAAGACCCCCGACAUCUAGUAUCCAUCGUUUACGGCGUGGACUAC